rnacentral:lncRNA from 1 species
GCUAUAGAGUGAGGAGAGGGAGGACAGUGGCUUUUUCUCCUCAUUUUCUGUUCCUAGACCCCACAACAGAUGAUCUCAUCAUACAGGUCUUCUACUCCUUAAGAUAGACAAGAUUGAUGAAAGACUGGAAAUGACUUUGCCUGGACCAUGAUUCAGCGACACUGUCCCUGUGGCAAGACUAUUGGCCAGGCUCAAACGCAGUGGCUGAUCCUCACUGACUCCUCUUCCUAAGGUUGUUGUACUAGGAGCAUCUCCUAACACUACACGGACACAAUUCAAUGACAAAAAUCAGAGAAGGAAAACAAAACAAAACUUCUGGAAUGCCUCUUCAUCUGUACUUAACAUCUGAAGCCUCUUCCACCUGAAUGAUGAAGAUGUCAAAUAUUCUCAGCCUCAAAUUAAUGUGUCAAGUACAUUGGAUUUGUAUCUUUGUGUUCUUUCCUAUCUUCUUAAAAAAUUGUGCUAAUUACAUUUUCAAAAAUUGUUGUUUUUCUAACAUAUUGGUUACAAUAUCAAUAUAUGUGGCUUAAUAAAAUAGUCUCUGAGAACAUGUGCUUUUCUGAAUGUGUCAGGUGGCAGCUUGCUUUUAACAAUAUUGUAAGUUUUUAUAAUCAGAUUUAAAUUGUGUUUAUCUAAAAUAUUUAUGAACAUUGAAUUUAUGGUGAACAAAGCAGAGUCUUCUUUCAAAUCGCAUGUAGUUAUGUUUCAAAUAUGUGAAAUUUUUG